GACGAACGCUGGCGGCGUGCCUAAUACAUGCAAGUCGAACGCUUUUUCUUUCACCGGAGCUUGCUCCAUCGAAAGAAAAAGAGUGGCGAACGGGUGAGUAACACGUGGGUAACCUGCCCAUCAGAAGGGGAUAACACUUGGAAACAGGUGCUAAUACCGUAUAACACUAUUUUCCGCACGGAAGAAAGUUGAAAGGCGCUUUUGCGUCACUGAUGGAUGGACCCGGAGUGCAUUAGCUAGUUGGUGAGGUAACGGCUCACCAAGGCAACGAUGCAUAGCCGACCUGAGAGGGUGAUCGGCCGCACUGGGACUGAGACACGGCCCAGACUCCUACGGGAGGCAGCAGUAGGGAAUCUUCGGCAAUGGACGAAAGUCUGACCGAGCAACGCCGCGUGAGUGAAGAAGGUUUUCGGAUCGUAAAACUCUGUUGUUAGAGAAGAACAAGGAUGAGAGUAAAAUGUUCAUCCCUUGACGGUAUCUAACCAGAAAGCCACGGCUAACUACGUGCCAGCAGCCGCGGUAA
rnacentral:rRNA from 1 species